AUUGAACGCUGGCGGCAGGCCUAACACAUGCAAGUCGAACGAGUGGCGGACGGGUGAGUAAUGUCUGGGAAACUGCCUGAUGGAGGGGGAUAACUACUGGAAACGGUAGCUAAUACCGCAUACCAUCAGAUGUGCCCAGAUGGGAUUAGAUAGUUGGUGGGGUACAGGCUACCCAAGGCGACCAUCCCUAGCUGGUCUGAGAGGAUGACAAGCCACACUGGGACGUAGAAACGGGCAAGACUCCUACGGGAGGCAGCAGGGGGGAAUAUUGCACAAUGUGCGCAAGCCUGAUGCAGCCAUGCCGCGUGUAUGAAGAAGGCCUUCGGGUUGUAAAGUACUUUCAGCGGGGAGGCGUUACCCGCAGAAUAAGCACCGGCUAACUCCGUGCCAGCCGCCGCGGUAAUUC
rnacentral:rRNA from 1 species